UCCCGUUUAGCUCAGUUGGUAGAGCGCGUCACUAGUAUACCGGUCCCAUCAUUAGAUGCUCGAUAUAUGACGAGGUCAGUCGUUCAAAUCGGCUAAUGGGAA